rnacentral:rRNA from 1 species
UACGAAGGGGGCUAGCGUUGUUCGGAAUUACUGGGCGUAAAGGGUUUGUAGGCGGUUGAACAAGUCAGUGGUGAAAGCCCAGAGCUUAACUCUGGAAUUGCCAUUGAAACUGUUCAGCUAGAGAGUGUUAGAGGAAAGUGGAAUUCCUAGUGUAGGAGUGAAAUCCGUGGAGAUUAGGAGGAAUAUCGAUGGCGAAGGCAGCUUUCUGGGACAUUUCUGACGCUGAGAAACGAAAGCGUGGGUAGCAAACAGG